rnacentral:lncRNA from 1 species
UCUCCUCGCCUGUUUGCGGUGCUGCUACUAUCGUUGCUCUCGCCAAAGCCCGAAUAGCAUGAUGUAGUGAAGAGAAUAUGCCAGACAUUAUAGGUCCGGUUAGGAGAGCUAGAAGUAUCCAAGAGAGGAGUCAUAUGCUAUUGCGCAAAUAUGAGGUACCAUUAUUGCUUGUUUGUUUGGAGGUAAUUGGUGGGAUAGAAAGGGAAUUUAGACUCGAGAGAUAAAUUUUGUUUUGGCGGGCAUGAGAGUUUUAGUGGGAUGAGGAAUGGAAGUUUAGAGGAACAAUUCCAGCCAAUCACUUCCCAAGGAGAAGGUACCAAUUGGGUGGGAAUUUAUUUUUAGUGGAAAAUGGAUGCAUCUACACCGUUAAUCAUAACUUAAGAUAUAAUUUACUACCUCUAAACCUCCACACCAAACAAAACAAAGGAUACGAAGUUUCACUUAAACUCCCAUACUAAUUCCCUUCCGAAGACAAACAAGAGAAUGGAACUAAAAAUCAUAUUCCCAAAAUAAUUUUCCUCCACCAACUCCGAUCCCACCACUAAUUCACAUGUCCCUUUUCUAUUAGUUGCCAAACGCACCCUUAUGACUUCUUGAUCCGUUUACUUUUAGCAGGUGAAACAUGCCGAAUGGACAGAAGUAAACUCCAUUGGCAUGAGAGUUUUAGUGGGAUGAGGAAUGGAAGUUUAGAGGAACAAUUCCAGCCAAUCGCUUCCCAAGGAGAGGGUACCAAUUGGGUGGGAAUUUAUUUUUAGCCGAAGAUGGAUGCAUCUACACCGUUAAUCAUAACUUAAGAUAUAAUUUACUACCUCUAAACCUCCACACCAAACAAAACAAAGGAUACGAAGUUUCACUUAAACUCCCAUACUUAAUUCCCUUCCGAAGACAAACAAGAGAAUGGGACUAAAAAUCAUAUUCCCAAAAUAAAUUUCCUCCACCAACUCCGAUGCCACCACU